rnacentral:tRNA from 1 species
ACCCUUUCGACUCAGUAGUAAAGUAAUGCCAUGGUAAGGUGUAAUUCAUCAGUUCAAGUCUGGUAAAGGGCU